rnacentral:rRNA from 1 species
CCUACGGGCGGCAGCAGUAGGGAAUAUUGCUCAAUGGGGGAAACCCUGAAGCAGCAACGCCGCGUGGAGGAUGAAGGUUUUCGGAUUGUAAACUCCUUUUGUUAGAGAAGAUAAUGACGGUAUCUAACGAAUAAGCACCGUCUAACUCCGUGCCAGCAGCCGCGGUAAUACGGAGGGUGCAAGCGUUACUCGGAAUCACUGGGCGUAAAGAGCGCGUAGGCGGGAUAGCAAGUCAGAUGUGAAAUCCUAUGGCUUAACCAUAGAACUGCAGUUGAAACUGUUAUUCUAGAGUAUGGGAGAGGUAGGUGGAAUUCUUGGUGUAGGGGUAAAAUGCGUAGAGAUCAAGAAGAAUACUCAUUGCGAAGGCGACCUGCUAGAACAUAACUGACGCUGAUGCGCGAAAGCGUGGGGAGCAAACAGGAUUAGAUACCCGAGUAGUC